rnacentral:rRNA from 1 species
AUUGAACGCUGNGCGGCAUGCCUUACACAUGCAAGUCGAACGGUAGCAUAGGAGCUUGCUCCUGAUGGCGAGUGGCGAACGGGUGAGUAAUAUAUCGGAACGUGCCCUAGAGUGGGGGAUAACUAGUCGAAAGACUAGCUAAUACCGCAUACGAUCUACGGAUGAAAGUGGGGGAUCGCAAGACCUCAUGCUCCUGGAGCGGCCGAUAUCUGAUUAGCUAGUUGGUGGGGUAAAAGCCUACCAAGGCAACGAUCAGUAGCUGGUCUGAGAGGACGACCAGCCACACUGGGACUGAGACACGGCCCAGACUCCUACGGGAGGCAGCAGUGGGGAAUUUUGGACAAUGGGGGCAACCCUGAUCCAGCAAUGCCGCGUGAGUGAAGAAGGCCUUCGGGUUGUAAAGCUCUUUUGUCAGGGAAGAAACGGUAGUAGCGAAUAACUACUACUAAUGACGGUACCUGAAGAAUAAGCACCGGCUAACUACGUGCCAGCAGCCGCGGUAAUACGUAGGGUGCAAGCGUUAAUCGGAAUUACUGGGCGUAAAGCGUGCGCAGGNCGGUUGUGUAAGUCAGAUGUGAAAUCCCCGGGCUCAACCUGGGAAUUGCAUUUGAGACUGCACGGCUAGAGUGUGUCAGAGGGGGGUAGAAUUCCACGUGUAGCAGUGAAAUGCGUAGAUAUGUGGAGGAAUACCGAUGGCGAAGGCAGCCCCCUGGGAUAACACUGACGCUCAUGCACGAAAGCGUGGGGAGCAAACAGG